rnacentral:rRNA from 1 species
ACGAGGGUGACAGGUGGUGCAUGGUUGUCGUCAGCUCGUGUCGUGAGAUGUUGGGUUAAGUCCCGCAACGAGCGCAACCCUCGACCUUAGUUGCCAGCAUUCAGUUGGGCACUCUAAGGUGACUGCCGGCUAAAAGUCGGAGGAAGGUGGGAUGACGUCAAAUCAUCAUGCCCCUUAUGACCUGGGCUACACACGUGCUACAAUGGGCGGUACAAAGGGUCGCGAACCCGCGAGGGGGAGCCAAUCCCAAAAAGCCGCUCUCAGUUCGGAUUGCAGGCUGCAACUCGCCUGCAUGAAGCCGGAAUCGCUAGUAAUCGCGGAUCAGCAUGCCGCGGUGAAUACGUUCCCGGGCCUU